GACGUAGGGUGCGAGCGUUGUCCGGAUUUAUUGGGCGUAAAGAGCUCGUAGGCGGCUCGUCGCGUCGACCGUGAAAACCCGCGGCUUAACUGCGGGCUUGCGGUUGAUACGGGCGGGCUAGAGUUCGGUAGGGGAGACUGGAAUUCCUGGUGUAGCGGUGGAAUGCGCAGAUAUCAGGAGGAACACCAACGGCGAAGGCAGCUCGCUGGGACGGUACUGACGCUGAGGCGCGAAAGCGUGGGGAGCGAACAGG
rnacentral:rRNA from 1 species